AUUGAACGCUGGCGGCAGGCCUAACACAUGCAAGUCGAGCGGGGUUUUCGGACCUAGCGGCGGACGGGUGAGUAAUGCGUAGGAAGCUACCCGAUAGAGGGGGAUACCAGUUGGAAACGACUGUUAAUACCGCAUAAUGUCUACGGACCAAAGUGUGGGACCUUCGGGCCACAUGCUAUCGGAUGCGCCUACGUGGGAUUAGCUAGUUGGUGAGGUAAUGGCUCACCAAGGCGACGAUCCCUAGCUGGUUUGAGAGGAUGAUCAGCCACACUGGAACUGAGACACGGUCCAGACACCUACGGGAGGCAGCAGUGGGGAAUAUUGGACAAUGGGCGCAAGCCUGAUCCAGCCAUGCCGCGUGUGUGAAGGAGGCCUUCGGGUUGUAAAGCACUUUCAGUAGGGAGGAAGGGUGUUGUGUUAAUAGCACGGCAUUUUGACGUUACCUACAGAAGAAGCACCGGCUAACUCUGUGCCAGCCGCCGCCGCCGUAA
rnacentral:rRNA from 1 species